GGCCAAUCUCCCGCUGGCUCGCCCUUAUAACCUCCAUAAGGACCACCCAGUGGACCCAUAUCCAAGAUGGGUGCUCCAGCAUUUGGAAAGGAAUAAGGACCACCCUGCGGGUAUGCUUGUGGCAUGCUGGAAGCAAGCAAGUGAUGUGAACGAGAUGGAUUAUCAUGGAGGCGGGAAGAAACUUGCUGGAGUGCCUUCUUUACAACUGAUGCCUCCCCCCU
rnacentral:misc_RNA from 1 species